CCUACGGGGGGCAGCAGUGGGGGAUAUUGCACAAUGGGGGGAACCCUGAUGCAGCGACGCCGCGUGGGUGAAGGAGCGUUUCGGCGCGUAAAGCCCUAUCGGCAGGGAAGAAGGAGGACGGUACCUGACUAAGAAGCCCCGGCUAACUACGUGCCAGCGGCCGCGGUAAUACGUAGGGGGCAAGCGUUAUCCGGAUUUACUGGGUGUAAAGGGAGCGUAGACGGCUAUGCAAGUCUGGAGUGAAAGGCGGGGGCCCAACCCCCGGACUGCUCUGGAAACUGUAGAGCUAGAGUGCAGGAGAGGUA
rnacentral:rRNA from 1 species